GCCCCUCUGUCUGUCUGUCUGCCUCUCUGUCUCUGUCUCUGUCUCUCUGUCUCUCUCUCUCUCUCUCUCUCUCUCUCUCUCUCUCUCUCUCUCUCUCUCUCUCCGGAUCACUCUGUUUUUGCCCAUUUAUUUGUCUACUUUUGUGUUACUAUAGUCAGGCCAUAUAAAACCACUGUAUACAUUGGAGUAAUAUGUUUACAUUGCGUUAGUCAUAUCGAUUCAUGCAUUCACUUUCGUCUUUGUACAUUAGGAAAUGGAUGAAGACACGUGGAUCAGAACACAUAUCCGUCAAAGAAAAUGCACCGUGUUUUCUCGGUACACAGGCAAACAUGAUUCUACCCGACGUUGUCUAUCCGCGAAGGCAGCAUACCGACGUUCCUUUAAAGCGGAAUGCAAAAGGUUAUCACGACAUCUUUAAAGGGGCACUGAUCUAGAACAAUUCCCCUGGACGACUAGAGAACAAAACGGCUUGCAAAUGUUGGCGUAAAGAGAGUGAACAUCCUGACCCCGAAUCUGUAAAUGACGAAGACUGGUCAACAUCACGGAAUACAACACCGGAACCUUGCAGGAACUACGGAAAGAUAGACUUCGGAGAAGGAAAGACUUCAAGGUAUGUUCGUAUCGAUGUCCAAACUGACAUGUCGGUCGUUGAGCACCUCUUGCUGCAGGUAUGGAGACUGCCAAAGCCAAAAUGGAUAUUCUCUGUCAUAGGAGACAUACAUAGACAGGCUGACACGAGGACGAAUGAACUUAGGUGCCAGCUAAAGGGAUUAAUGAAGUCAUUAUCCAAUGGACAAAAUAUCUGGAUUACAACCGAAGGCAUACAUUUUGGGAUUUCAAAAUGGUGGGAGAAUAUAUCAAGGAUAUGUCUAAAUACAUCACCCCUGUUGGAGUAUAUGCAUGGGGAGGAGUUGAUGAAGAAGUGAUUGAAGACCUGGAAACCGAGAAGCCUCAGCUACAGGAGGAGGCAGAAGGAAACAGACCCAGUGCUCUGUACAAGCAUCACCUCCUAGUGGACGAUGGAUCUUUUAAUCAGUCACAUGUCCACAAAUCGUUCCAAGAGUUCAGGAUGACAUUAGAAACGGCAAUGACGAAACUUUCAGAAGGAACUUCCUGCACCCCACUGGUGGUUCUGCUGUAUUGUGGAUGGUGUUAUGUUCUCGAUGGAGUCCAAUCUGCAAUAGAAAACAACGUGCCAGUGAUUGUCCUGCAGGUAA